rnacentral:pre_miRNA from 15 species
AGGAUACGAGUGUCUUUGAUAAGCCAAGGAUGACUUGCCUAGAGUCUCUUCGUGAAUCCCAAACACAUCAUUAGAUCGUUGAGUUUGCAGUAGGCAGUCUCCUUGGCUACUCUAAGAGGCUCGUAUCCA